AACCUUAGUGAUUGACGUUACUCGCAGAAGAAGCACCGGCUAACUACGUGCCAGCAGCCGCGGUAAUACGUAGGUGGCAAGCGUUGUCCGGAUUUAUUGGGCGUAAAGCGAGCGCAGGCGGUUUCUUAAGUCUGAUGUGAAAGCCCCCGGCUCAACCGGGGAGGGUCAUUGGAAACUGGGAAACUUGAGUGCAGAAGAGGAGAGUGGAAUUCCAUGUGUAGCGGUGAAAUGCGUAGAUAUAUGGAGGAACACCAGUGGCGAAGGCGGCUCUCUGGUCUGUAACUGACGCUGAGGCUCGAAAGCGUGGGGAGCAAACAGGAUUAGAUACCCCCUGGUAGUCCACGCCGUAAACGAUGAGUGCUAAGUGUUGGAGGGUUUCCGCCCUUCAGUGCUGCAGCUAACGCAUUAAGCACUCCGCCUGGGGAGUACGACCGCAAGGUUG
rnacentral:rRNA from 1 species